rnacentral:rRNA from 1 species
AACGUAGGAGGCGAGCGUUAUCCGGAGUUACUGGGCGCAAAGCGCAUGUAGGCGGUUGGAUAAGUUGCGUGUGAAAGCUCCUGGCUAAACUAGGAGAGGACAGGCAAGACUGUUCGGCUAGAGGGUGGUAGAGGGGCACAGAAUUCGGGGUGUAGCGGUGAAAUGUGUAGAGAUCCCGAGGAAUACCAGUGGUGAAGACGGUGCCCUGGGCCAUACCUGACGCUGAGAUGCGAAAGCGUGGGGAGCGAACGGG